ACGAACGCUUGCGGCGUGCUUAACACAUACAAGUCGAACGGAAAGGCCCUGCUUUUGUGGGGUGCUCGAGUGGCGAACGGGUGAGUAACACGUGAGUAACCUGCCCUUGACUUUGGGAUAACUUCAGGAAACUGGGGCUAAUACCGGAUAGGAGCUCCUGCUGCAUGGUGGGGGUUGGAAAGUUUCGGCGGUUGGGGAUGGACUCGCGGCUUAUCAGCUUGUUGGUGGGGUAGUGGCUUACCAAGGCUUUGACGGGUAGCCGGCCUGAGAGGGUGACCGGCCAAAUUGGGACUGAGAUACGGCCCAGACUCCUACGGGAGGCAGCAGUGGGGAAUAUUGCACAAUGGGCGGAAGCCUGAUGCAGCAACGCCGCGUGCGGGAUGACGGCCUUCGGGUUGUAAACCGCUUUCGCCUGUGACGAAGCGUGAGUGACGGUAAUGGGUAAAGAAGCACCGGCUAACUACGUG
rnacentral:rRNA from 1 species